UACGGGGGGAGCAAACGUUGUUCGGAAUCACUGGGCGUAAAGGGCGCGUAGGCGGCCGUGUAAGUCACUUGUGAAAUCCCGGGGCUCAACUCCGGGGCUGCAGGUGAGACUGCAUGGCUAGAGCUUGGUAGAGGCGAGUGGAAUUCCCGGUGUAGCGGUGGAAUGCGUAGAUAUCGGGAAGAACACCGGUGGCGAAGGCGGCUCGCUGGGCCAAUGCUGACGCUGAGGCGCGAAAGCGUGGGGAGCAAACAGG
rnacentral:rRNA from 1 species